rnacentral:rRNA from 1 species
AGGCAGCAGUGGGUAAUAUUGGACAAUGGGNGCAAGCCUGAUCCAGCCAUGCNGCGUGAGUGAUGAAGGCCUUAGGGUUGUAAAGCUCUUUUNUCCGGGAAGAUAAUGACGGUACCGCCAGAAUAAGCCCCGGCUAACUUCGUGCCAGCAGCCGCGGUAAUACGAAGGGGGCAAGCGUUGUUCGGAAUCACUGGGCGUAAAGCGUGCGUAGGCGGUUUUUUAAGUCAGANGUGAAAUCCCCGGGCUCAACCCCGGAACUGCCUUUGAUACUGUCUGUCUUGAGUACGGNAGAGGUGAGUGGAAUUCCUAGUGUAGCGGUGAAAUUCGUAGAUAUUAGNAGGAACACCAGUGGCGAAGGCGGCUCCCUGGCCCNNUACUGACGCUGAGGCNCGAAAGCG